GAGGCACAAGGUCACCCUAAUCACUUAUAAGUUUGUUUAUGACAGCCUUACAAGUAAAAGGUUUAUUUCCAUAUCAUGGGUGCUAACAGAAUGCCUAUGCAUCUCGGCACCACCUCAAAGGGAAAGUUACCUUGAUAUCAGUGGAACGACACCAAUGUUAUUUAGAUCAUGUUUAAUGGGCAAGAAAAUAGUCAAACUGCCUUAGAAGCAAACACAUUGCUUUUGAGAGUUUUCCAAAUAAACCUCAUGUCUAAAAAUACCUUGAAAAGUUAAAUUUACAUUGAUAUUUUCAAUAUGUUUCACUGAUUAUUCCUUACUCUCAGAGCUGAGUUUUAGCUCAAUCUUCUCUGCACUACUCUGACAUCAUGGUGCCCUACACAAAUAGCUAGUUCUGGCAUGAGACUUACUAUCAUCCUGCCCCAGCCCUCUUGAUAAAUGCCUGCUGCGCGAACACCCAGUGACCUUCCCAUUUUUCAGGAAGACCAGCACACUCAAAAGAUGAUUCUGAGUAUUCAAGACAACCCAUUGAAGGAUUAAAAAGCCAACCAGCAGAAAUGAGCUAUUUUAGGAUGAAAACAUGGAGGGUCACAUACAGUUUGAUGCUGGCAAGUGCACUGCUGAUUUAGCCCUGCUGCCAAAUCAACAGAACACAAAGGAUGGCAGCAGAGCAGAUGUGGUAGGAAGCAGGAGCUGACGCUCAUAUGGGACUGACUUUAUAUUGGACCCUAACAAAUUUCGAACGGCGUUGUGGACCCCUUUGGAAAUCUGCUCUCUGUAUUAUAUAUAGUUGAAUUCUGUUCAGUCAGUUUUCAGUCUAAGUAUUUCAUGGACCCCUUAGACAUGGUCUGCAGACCACAGCCUGAGAACCACCGGUCUAGAAGAGCUGAAAGUACAAAAUGGAGAGGGCAAAACCAAGCUGAUUAUUUCCCAAAGUAGAAAAUCAUUUCUCGUCAUGUUUGUUUAUAUUUAUAGACAUUUCUAUGAAAGUAAGCACCUAUAUGUGGACACACCAUACAAUUUCAUUAAAGUGGCACUGUAAGCUUUAAAGUCACAUUUCUGUCUGAGAAUACUGUCUGCAACAAGUAACAUUUACAAUUACAAUACAUGGAAAAUAUUAGAGGAAAACAUAAUUUGCUUUCUUUUUUCAGUUCGUUCACUUUACACACUUGCUAGCGCUUUCUGCAUAGUGAAUCAGUCAGUCCAUUUUCUCUGUGAGGAUUUUUUCCACAUAGCAUCAGGGAAAAGAAAAGCAUCUUAAGAAAAUACAGAAGGUGAACUUGUGCAACCAUAAAAACUGGCAGCCGUACUCCAGGACAGGCGUAAGACUUUAAGCUACUUUUUAAACUCUAAGGCUUCAAGUUCGCUGUGUCCCUGCAACUGCUAUACAGUAUAGGAUUUUAAAAUAAGGAGGUGUGACUCAACACACCUGCUGAUGAUCUACAUCAGUAUACACUUAUUGACC